rnacentral:ncRNA from 1 species
GGCAGAGUAGGUAACUUGCGUCAAGUGCCAAGGGAUGGGACGUUGCCCUUGGACGAAAAGCUUUUCGCUUGCGGUAAGUUAUCGCGUUCGCUGCC